UUAAGCGACUAAGCGUACACGGUGGAUGCCCUGGCAGUCAGAGGCGAUGAAGGACGUGCUAAUCUGCGAUAAGCGUCGGUAAGGUGAUAUGAACCGUUAUAACCGGCGAUUUCCGAAUGGGGAAACCCAGUGUGUUUCGACACACUAUCAUUAACUGAAUCCAUAGGUUAAUGAGGCGAACCGGGGGAACUGAAACAUCUAAGUACCCCGAGGAAAAGAAAUCAACCGAGAUUCCCCCAGUAGCGGCGAGCGAACGGGGAGCAGCCCAGAGCCUGAAUCAGUGUGUGUGUUAGUGGAAGCGUCUGGAAAGGCGCGCGAUACAGGGUGACAGCCCCGUACACAAAAAUGCACAUAUUGUGAGCUCGAUGAGUAGGGCGGGACACGUGGUAUCCUGUCUGAAUAUGGGGGGACCAUCCUCCAAGGCUAAAUACUCCUGACUGACCGAUAGUGAACCAGUACCGUGAGGGAAAGGCGAAAAGAACCCCGGCGAGGGGAGUGAAAAAGAACCUGAAACCGUGUACGUACAAGCAGUGGGAGCCUCUUUUAUGGGGUGACUGCGUACCUUUUGUAUAAUGGGUCAGCGACUUAUAUUCUGUAGCAAGGUUAACCGAAUAGGGGAGCCGAAGGGAAACCGAGUCUUAACUGGGCGUUAAGUUGCAGGGUAUAGACCCGAAACCCGGUGAUCUAGCCAUGGGCAGGUUGAAGGUUGGGUAACACUAACUGGAGGACCGAACCGACUAAUGUUGAAAAUUAGCGGAUGACUUGUGGCUGGGGGUGAAAGGCCAAUCAAACCGGGAGAUAGCUGGUUCUCCCCGAAAGCUAUUUAGGUAGCGCCUCGUGAAUUCAUCUCCGGGGUAGAGCACUGUUUCGGCAAGGGGGUCAUCCCGACUUACCAACCCGAUGCAAACUGCGAAUACCGGAGAAUGUUAUCACGGGAGACACACGGCGGGUGCUAACGUCCGUCGUGAAGAGGGAAACAACCCAGACCGCCAGCUAAGGUCCCAAAGUCAUGGUUAAGUGGGAAACGAUGUGGGAAGGCCCAGACAGCCAGGAUGUUGGCUUAGAAGCAGCCAUCAUUUAAAGAAAGCGUAAUAGCUCACUGGUCGAGUCGGCCUGCGCGGAAGAUGUAACGGGGCUAAACCAUGCACCGAAGCUGCGGCAGCGACACUGUGUGUUGUUGGGUAGGGGAGCGUUCUGUAAGCCUGUGAAGGUAUGCUGUGAGGCAUGCUGGAGGUAUCAGAAGUGCGAAUGCUGACAUAAGUAACGAUAAAGCGGGUGAAAAGCCCGCUCGCCGGAAGACCAAGGGUUCCUGUCCAACGUUAAUCGGGGCAGGGUGAGUCGACCCCUAAGGCGAGGCCGAAAGGCGUAGUCGAUGGGAAACAGGUUAAUAUUCCUGUACUUGGUGUUACUGCGAAGGGGGGACGGAGAAGGCUAUGUUGGCCGGGCGACGGUUGUCCCGGUUUAAGCGUGUAGGCUGGUUUUCCAGGCAAAUCCGGAAAAUCAAGGCUGAGGCGUGAUGACGAGGCACUACGGUGCUGAAGCAACAAAUGCCCUGCUUCCAGGAAAAGCCUCUAAGCAUCAGGUAACAUCAAAUCGUACCCCAAACCGACACAGGUGGUCAGGUAGAGAAUACCAAGGCGCUUGAGAGAAUCGGGUGAAGGAACUAGGCAAAAUGGUGCCGUAACUUCGGGAGAAGGCACGCUGAUAUGUAGGUGAAGUCCCUCGCGGAUGGAGCUGAAAUCAGUCGAAGAUACCAGCUGGCUGCAACUGUUUAUUAAAAACACAGCACUGUGCAAACACGAAAGUGGACGUAUACGGUGUGACGCCUGCCCGGUGCCGGAAGGUUAAUUGAUGGGGUCAGCGCAAGCGAAGCUCUUGAUCGAAGCCCGGUAAACGGCGGCCGUAACUAUAACGGUCCUAAGGUAGCGAAAUUCCUUGUCGGGUAAGUUCCGACCUGCACGAAUGGCGUAAUGAUGGCCAGGCUGUCUCCACCCGAGACUCAGUGAAAUUGAACUCGCUGUGAAGAUGCAGUGUACCCGCGGCAAGACGGAAAGACCCCGUGAACCUUUACUAUAGCUUGACACUGAACAUUGAGCCUUGAUGUGUAGGAUAGGUGGGAGGCUUAGAAGUGUGGACGCCAGUCUGCAUGGAGCCGACCUUGAAAUACCACCCUUUAAUGUUUGAUGUUCUAACGUUGACCCGUAAUCCGGGUUGCGGACAGUGUCUGGUGGGUAGUUUGACUGGGGCGGUCUCCUCCUAAAGAGUAACGGAGGAGCACGAAGGUUGGCUAAUCCUGGUCGGACAUCAGGAGGUUAGUGCAAUGGCAUAAGCCAGCUUGACUGCGAGCGUGACGGCGCGAGCAGGUGCGAAAGCAGGUCAUAGUGAUCCGGUGGUUCUGAAUGGAAGGGCCAUCGCUCAACGGAUAAAAGGUACUCCGGGGAUAACAGGCUGAUACCGCCCAAGAGUUCAUAUCGACGGCGGUGUUUGGCACCUCGAUGUCGGCUCAUCACAUCCUGGGGCUGAAGUAGGUCCCAAGGGUAUGGCUGUUCGCCAUUUAAAGUGGUACGCGAGCUGGGUUUAGAACGUCGUGAGACAGUUCGGUCCCUAUCUGCCGUGGGCGCUGGAGAACUGAGGGGGGCUGCUCCUAGUACGAGAGGACCGGAGUGGACGCAUCACUGGUGUUCGGGUUGUCAUGCCAAUGGCACUGCCCGGUAGCUAAAUGCGGAAGAGAUAAGUGCUGAAAGCAUCUAAGCACGAAACUUGCCCCGAGAUGAGUUCUCCCUGACCCUUUAAGGGUCCUGAAGGAACGUUGAAGACGACGACGUUGAUAGGCCGGGUGUGUAAGCGCAGCGAUGCGUUGAGCUAACCGGUACUAAUGAACCGUGAGGCUUAACCUU
rnacentral:rRNA from 1 species